CAAGUCGAGUGCGCGCCCGUAGCAAUACGGGUGGCGCACGGCGCACGGGUGCGUAACACGUGGGUAACCUGCCCUUUGAUGGGGAAUAACCCCGCGAAAGCGGGGCUAAUUCCGCAUAAGAUCCGCAAGGAUGAAAGCCGUAAGGCGUCGAAGGAGGGGCCUGCGCACGAUUAGCUAGUUGGUAGGGUAACGGCCUACCAAGGCUUUGAUCGUUAGCUGGUCUGAGAGGAUGGCCAGCCACACUGGAACUGAGACACGGUCCAGACUCCUACGGGAGGCAGCAGUGGGGAAUCUUGCACAAUGGGCGAAAGCCUGAUGCAGCGACGCCGCGUGGGGGAUGAAGCUUCUCGGAGUGUAAACCCCUUUCGACCCGGACGAAUACCUCGCAAGAGGGGUGACGGUACGGGUAUAAGAAGCCCCGGCUAACUACGUGCCAGCACCCGCGGUAAGACGUGGGGGGCCAGCGUUGCUCGGAAUUACUGGGUGUAAAGGGUCAGUAGGCGGUGUGGCAAGUCGGGAGUGAAAUCUCUGGGCUUAACUCAGAGACUGCUUCCGAAACUGCUGUGCUUGAGUAUGGGAGAGGCGCGUGGAAUUGCAGGUGUAGCGGUGAAAUGCGUAGAUAUCUGCAGGAACACCCGUGGCGAAAGCGGCGCGCUGGACCAUAACUGACGCUGAAUGACGAAAGCUAGGGGAGCAAACAGGAUUAGAUACCCUGGUAGUCCUAGCCCUAAACGAUCAGGACUUGGGGUGCCACCCGUUCGGGUGUCGUCCCGGAGCUAACGCGUUAAGUCCUGCACCUGGGGAGUACGGUCGCAAGACUGAAACUCAAAGGAAUUGACGGGGGCCCGCACAAGCGGUGGAAC
rnacentral:rRNA from 1 species